UCAUACGGUGAACUAGCAAAGGUAACUGGUCAUUUCUCGCUCAAUAACCUAAUUGGUCGAGGUGGUUUUGGUCAUGUUUUUAAGGCAUCCUUAGAUGGUGAGAUCUGUGCUAUUAAGAGACUUGAUUUUCCGGAUGUACAAUCCGAAGGAGGUUUGGAGAGGGAGAUUAUGGUCGUCAAAAGUGUCAGUCACAAAAACCUCGUUGAAUUGGUUGGUUACUGUAUUGAUGGAGCCAAUAGAUUGCUUAUUUUAAAGUAUUUUCCAAAUGGGUCCUUGAGAUCUAAAUUACAUGGUGAGUCCCGUAUAUCCUUUCUUUUUACUUUUAUGUUCGUAUAACUAAUCCAUAUAACAUGAUUAAUCUUAAAAGUUACAAAUGGUAUUGUAGGGAGUGGGGAUGUUUUGGACUGGGAAAAAAGAAUGAAGAUCGCCACAGGUUCUGCAAAAGGAUUGGAAUAUUUACAUGAACACUGUGAGUAUUUAGUACUAUAUAUUCUUACCCGGCAAGAUCUUAUGAAUUUAUUUAUUUAUUUUUAUCUAUAUUAAUAAUUUAUUUUCUCUCAAAAUUUAUAUUUUAUAUUUUUUUCAGGUAAACCUAAAAUUAUCCAUUUAGAUAUCAAACCAGAUAAUAUUCUUCUUAAUCAAGAUUUUGAACCUAAGGUGAGAUAAUUUUAUAACAAAUAAAUAUUUUAUUUAUAUUAUCACAUAUUUAGAGUAAAAUCUUGAUAAUUGAAUAUUAAAAUUUUAUUUUUCAAAAAUAUUGAAAAAUUAUAUGAACUCCUUAAUUACAUAAUUUUAUUUUUGUGUUAAUUAAUAAAUCUGGAUUCUAAUUCUUUUUUGGUUUAGCCAUAAAUUUUUGGUUUUUUUAAUAAAAUUUAUUGCUUAUAAAAAAAUUAAUAAAUCCACCUUAGUAGGUUUCUUUUUUUUUUCAUGAUUUAAUAUUUUCUUAAUAAACCUUAUUGAAGUACGGAAAUUGUGUAAUUUAUCAAAUAGAAAGGUAAAAGAGUGUAUAUUCGUGGAAUUAAGUGUGAAGUUUCAACCUUAAAUUAAUAUAUACAUUAUAUAUAAAUAGCAUAAAUAAAUUUAUUAAUUAAUUUAAAUAAUUUGUUUAGAUAACAGAUUUUGGACUUGCUCAUUUUUUUUCGACGGUGCUACCCACAUAUCCAAAUCAUCAGUUAUGGGAACCCAUGUGUAAGAUGUAACCUCCUCUUCUAUCAUUUAAUUGCAAUGCUAUUAUUGUCUUUCUUUUUUCAGUGCCAUUAUUAUCUACCCUUAGAAUAGUUUAAAAAUAAAAUUAAAAUAGAUAAAAUAAUACAUAAAAAGAUAUUAGUACUCCUUAACUUGAUGGUAUUAGUUUCUUAAGAAAUCUUAACAUAAAUUUUAGUUCUGUUAAUUUUAUUGCAGCUAUGAAGAUCCAUUGACAACAAAACUGGGAAAGUAUUCUGAUAAAUCUGAUAUUUAUUCUUUUGGAGUUACACUUUUAGAGCUGAUUACUAGAAGAAAACCUAUACACAAUGGCACUGACAUUGUUAUUUGGGUAUGACUCUGUUUGCAUUAAUACAACUUUGAUAUAAAAAUUCUAUUUUUACCUUAUAAAGUUUUGAAUUUAGAUCUCAAUUGGAGCUAUUUAGAUUUCAAUUCAAUAUAUUUAUGAUCUAUUAAUAAAUAAUUUUUUUAAUCAAUAUCUUAUAGGCAAAUCAUCUAAUUAAAAAGGCUUUGGAGGGAAGAUAUACAAACUUUGUAGAUUCUAAUUUACAAUCCUUUGAUCAUGAACAAAUGUAUCAAAUGGUUUCUUGUAUUAAUUCUUGCAUAAAUCAACCACUAAACUCUCGGCCAACAAUGGAAAAGGUAAAACUUUUCACAUAUUUAAUUUAAUUUUAGCUAUAUAUUAUAUAAUUUUAAUUAAUUUUGUGAACUCGAGAGAUUACAUAAUUGACUUGUAAUCAUUUUAUUGCUAUGUCAUGUAGAUACGUCUAGUUCUUGAAGGAAAAUCGCCUCCAGAGGAAUUAUACGAUCAUGAAUUACAAUGGAGUAUUAUACAUAGAGGUUUAUAUUCUUUUAUAUUAAUUUAUUAGAAAUUAUAUGCAUAUUUAUACUAAAGCUCGAUCAAAUUGAUGCCUAAAUUAAUUUCCUAAAUUAAUUUUCAUUUAACUUGUGUCAUAUCUUAAAAUUAGAAACAAAUGUUGAUUUUCAACUGCAUAAAUAUUAAUUUUUUAAUUUGAAACGUAGAAUAAAUUUAUUAUUAUAUUUUAUAGAAAGAAAAUGAAUAAUAAUUUUGAGAUAAUAAAAUAAAAUAAAUAAAAAUUAUGGAACGGAAAGAAUAUUAUUUAAUUAUUUAAGUAAAGGUAAAUAAAUAGAAAUAAUGAAGCCGUGAAUAGUUUUUUGAUAGGAAAAAAAAUAAUUAAUGUCCAUGAAAUCAUUUUCUAUUUUGAGAUAGUUUAAUUUAUUUUAAAAGAUCUUAUAACAUAAUUAUUUGUUUAUAUUAUAUACAUAUUGUUUGACAAAUUCUUAAUAAGAUGAUUUAGAUUGUUUACAUAAUAAACUUAUUUUUUUAUAUAGUUAUAGUCUUUUUAGGUAAAUUUCAAUCAUAUAGGUUAUUCGAAUUUAUAUUAAAAUUUGUCUAAAACACUAAUAAUUCACUAUAUGAAAUUAAGAAAAGGAAAAAUAAAAGUAUGAAAAUUAAUUAGUAAGCAUGGUUAUUUGGCUUAAUUAAUAGAGAUAAUUUACUCAUAAAGCUUGCUUUAUGUUCACAUAUGGAACAACUUUAUUUAAAAAAAAUUAUUGUAAAAUAUAUAUAGCUUUUUGCUCUAUUUUCUUUGAGAGUUGCAAAUUAUAUUAAGAAAACAAAAAAUCUGAACUUUUCAUCAAGCUCACGAGAUCAGUUGGAAAAUUCUUAUCUUAAUUUCUUUGCUUUCUAUAUAUGUAUAUGCAAUGGUUCCACAAAUUAGAUAUAUACACUAACUAAAUAUGGCAUGCUAUGGUUUGCGUAGAUGACGAAUCUAGCUCAUACUUUGAAGAGAUUGAUCAAAUUGAAGAAUCUGGCCCAUUGCAUGAAAAGAAUUAUAAGGGUAUUAGGCCGAAGCCAAAUUCAUUUAGUGAACUAGCAGUGGCAAAUUAUAAGGGUGGGCUAAAGCCAUAUUCAUUCAGUGAACUAGCAAAGGCAACUGAUCAAUUCUCGCUUCAACGCCAAUUUGGCCAAGGUGGUUUUGGUCAAGCUUUUAUGGCAUCCUUAGAUGGUAAGAUCCGUGUUGUCAAGAAACUUAAUAAUUUUCCAGAUGUACAGUCUGAAGGAGAUUUCGAGAGGGUGAUUAUGGUUCUCAAUGGAGUCCGUCACAAAAAUCUUGUUAAGUUAGUUGGUUAUUGCAUUGAGGGAGCAAAUAGAUUGCUUAUUUCAAAGUUCUUUCCCAACAUGUCAUUGAGAUAUCAAUUAUACAGUGAGUCCCAUAUCCUUUCUUUUGCCUAUGUUCAUAUAACUAAUUAAUAUCACAUAAUUAGUCUUACAAAUUACAAAUGAUUUUGUAGGAAAGGGGAACGCUUUAGACUGGAAAAAAAGAAUGAAUAUUGCUAUAGGUUCUGCAAGAGGAUUAGAAUAUUUACAUGAAUACAGUGAGUACUUUUAAUUUUUGAGAGUGAUUUUUUUUUUAAAUUUUAUUUUUAUUUGUUUUAAUAAUUUAUUUCCUCUAAAAGUUUUAUGCUAAUAUUAUUUUCAGGUAAACUUAAAAUCAUACAUUUAUUUAUCAAGUCAGAUAAUAUUCUUCUUGAUAAUGACUUUAAUCCUAAGGUAAGAUAAUUUAUAAAUUUUAUUUAUAUCACUACAAUGUGGAAUCUUCAUCAUUAGAUUCCGAAAUUUUAUUUUUGAAAAAUUAUGUGAACCCAUUAGUUUGAUUGUUGUAAUUCAUUAAUAAUGAGGCUUAACAAGGUUUCUUGUCUUUUUUCAUGCUUUACUACUUUCUUAAUAAACCUUAUUGAAGUACGGAAAAUAGUGUAAUUUAUCAAGUAAAUAUAUAUAUAUAUAUUCAUGAAAUUAAGUAGUAAAUAACUACACCUUUAAAUUAAUAUAUACAUUAUAUAUAUGCACAGCAUAAUAAAUUUAUUAAUCUACUUAAAUCACAUGUCUUAGAUUUCAGAUUUUGAACGUUCCCUAUUCUUUAGGGAUGCUACUACUCAUGUGUUCAGAUCAUCAACUCUCGGAACUCACAUGUACGUAAAAAGAAAAAAAUUUCUUUUUAUCAUUCAAUUACAUCACUAUUAUCGUCUCUUUUCUUUCGGUACUAUUAUUAUCUAAUCUUAGAAUAAUUUGAAAAAUAAAAUAAAAAUUAAAACAAAGAAAAAAACACAUAAAAAGAAAUUAGGAUUCCUUAUUUGAAAAUAUUAGGUUUUUUAAAAAAAUCUUAAUAUAAAUUUUAAUUGUGAUGAUUCCAUUGCAGUUAUGCAGAUCCAUUGUCAACAAAAUUAGAAAAAUAUUCGGAUAAAUCCGAUGUUUAUUCUUUUGGUGUUAUACUUUUGGAACUGAUUACCGGAAGAAAGCUCAAGAUGGAUGAAAACAUUGACAUCGUUACUUGGGUAUGGCUUUCUUACUUGUAAUAAUUUAAUAUAAAAAUUGCAAUAUAAAAUUAUAAUAUAAGAAUCAAUAAGAUAAAAAAAAGAAUUAAAUUUAAAUCUCCAUUGGAUUGGAUGUAUGCAAAUAAAAUAAUAAAGCAUUCUUUAUAGUCACAUUAAAAACAUUGAAAAAGACAAAACUAUAUGCUAUAAGUUAAAUACAAAUGCACAUGUAACAUGCAGUUAUGAUUCAUUAAUAAUAAAUAACUUAUUAAUCAAUAUCUUGUAGGCACAACCUCUAAUAGAAAAGGCUUUGGAGGGAGAAUAUAUGGAUUUUGUAGAUCCAAGGUUGCAAUUGUUUGACGAUCAAGAAAUGCAUCGAAUGAUUUUUUGCUCUAAUGCUUGCAUAAAUUAACCGUUAAGAUCUCGUCCAUCGAUGAAAAUGGUAAAAUUUAUUCACAUAAUUAAUUUUGAUAUAUUUCACUAUUAUUGUUUAUUUUCAAUUAAUUUUAUAGAAACAUUGAGAGAGUACAUAUUUGACUUAUAAAUCUUUCUAUCAUUGAUAUGUCAUGUAGAUACUUCUAGCUCUCGAAGGAAUUCUUCCUUUAAAUUCUUUGUGAUGAGAUGAAUGACAACAAAUUGCGAUUGGAAGCUACUCAUAAAGGUCCGUUUCUUAUAAAGAAUGGGAAUAUCUAUUUCGAAUGUUAUUCAUUUUCUAUAGAUUUAUUAAAUAAAAAAAUUUAAAAGUAUACGGUUUGUUAUAUUUAUUCUAAAUUUAAAAUUUUGAACAAUAAAAUCAAUUUUUUUUACAUUUACUUCAAUUAAUUUUGAUAAAAAAAAUUUUAAUCUACGUGUCAUAUCACAUAGGUUUAUUUUUUGCAAGGCCUACUCAAUAAAAAAAUUCAAAAUUAACAUUAAAUUCAUAUUUAUAUUGAAAACUUUUGAACAAUAAAAUCAAACCUUUUUUAAUUUAACACAAUUAUAAUCAAUAGGACUAAAUAAAUUAAAUCUGAAAAGUUAAUGAUAAAUUACAAUAUAAUCCUUAAAAUUUUAUGUUAACAAAACAUAUAGUCUUUUAAUUUAACAUAUAGUCAUUUAUAAAUUAUAAUGUAGUCCCUAAAUUUAUCAUAUGUAAUAUUAAAUAUAUUAUAUUAAAUAAAUAUUUAUUAUAAAUAAAUUUUCAUUGCAUAAAAUAUCACAUACAAAUAUUAUAUAAUAAAAUAUUUUAUUGAAUAUUUAAACUCAAUAUUAUAAAUAUAUUCAUAUUAUUUCUUUAUUUAAAAGGAGUAGGAUAUGAACUUAAUUCACCUUUUAAAAAUAGAAGUAUCCGUCUCAGUUCAUCUACUUGGUGAUUUUGCUUUUUUCCUUUAAUAAUAUUCCUCUUCUUAUUUGAGAAGAUGGAUUGUUUUCCCAAACCCAUUGCCUUUUGGAGAAGAUGAAUAUGUUACAUUUAAUAAAACCUUAAACCUUUCUCUUCUUAUUUUUAAUAGACCAGAGUUUUCCUUAUCAUUUUAAGCUUUUCUCUUUUUAUUAUUUUCUUUAAACGAUGACUUAUUACAUUAUUUUCUAUAUUAAAUAUGACCAAGCUUAUAAAAUAAUCCUUUUUAUUUAAUCUCAAUAUCAAAUACUAUAUGAAAUUUUUUAAAAUAUCGAUAAAUUUUUUCAUUAGUAAUUCAAUAAAAAUCUAUUAGCAAAUAAUACAAUCUAUUUUUAAAAGUUUCGCUGGUAAAUUUUUACUAACAGAUUUUAAAUUUAUUAGCACCACUAUGAAAUUUACCAAUAUAAAUUCUCAUUUUUUAUUCAAUUCGGAUAGUAGUGUGGAAUUUUUCGGAUUGAGUUACAAUUUGAUGCAUAAAGAAAACAUACAUAAAAUUUAAAUCACAUAAAUAACAUAAUUUAUAUUCAAUAUUCAUUAAAAAUGUAAAUAUAUAUUUGGAAAAGAAAAAGAGUAAAUGAUAAAAUAAAGUGAGAAAAAUAGAAAUGAAAGAAAAUAAAAAUUAGAGAAAAGUAAAUAGCAUAAAAUGAGAAGAAAUUAUAAAAAAGAAAAAAGAAAAAGGAGAAAAACAAUAGAAAAGAAAAUUAUAGAGAAGAAAAAAAGAAUGAAAGAAGAGGGAAAGGAUUAUUAGAGAAGUGAGAGAAAAUAAAAUAAAUAAUUAGAGAAUAAAAUAAAUAAAGAGAAAAUAAUAGAAAAUAAUGAGUUGCAAAACUCACCCAUCUUUUCUUAUUAAAUUUUAUAAUUUUGCUAUCAUUUUCAUAUAAAUAAUUAAUUUUUAUUUGAAAUUUGAUUUUGAACGGAUUUUAAGGGAAAAUUAAGAAAAAAAAUGAAAAGAGGCUGAAUUGGAAGAUUUUCGGAUGAGAAUGUUACAACCUUGGAUAAACUUGUAGUCUAAGGCGAUGGAUAGCUCCACUUCACUCCGAUUAGUAAAUAGCAUAAAAUGAGAAAAAAUUAUACACAGAAAGAAAAAGGAGCAAAACAAUAGAAAAGAAAAUUACAGGAAAAAAAAAAAGAUGAAAGAAGAGAGAAAGGAUGAUUAGAGAAGUUUGAGAAAAACAAACAAAUAAUUAGAGAAGGAAAUAAAUGAAGAGAAAAUAAUAGAAAAUGAUAGUGGCAAAACUCACUUCCUUAUUAAAUUUCAUGAUUUUAUUAUAAUUUUAAUAUAAAUAAUUAAUUUUUACUUAAAUUUGAUUUUAGACAGAUUUUUAAGCAGAGGUUAAGAAAAGAAAUGAAAAGAGGCUGAAUUGAAAGAUUUUUAUUGGAAAUGUUACAACCUUGAACAAGCUUGUAAUAUAAAGCGAUGGACAACUUUAGAUUUUAAAAAUUUUCACUUCAGCCUGAUUUUUCCACUUAAAAUGAUAAGAUCAGUUUCAAAUUGGAUAAAAACUAAUCAGAUUAGAAUAGGAGUGAGAUAGGAGGAGUAGAAUUUAUUUUAAAUUAUUAAAUUUUAUCUUUUUAUUGAAGAAAAAAUCUAUAUAAAGUCUUUCCAAAAAUUAAAGCUACAUCAUAUUCUUAUCUUCUCUCCCUCCUCUUCUCUCUAAGCUGCCCCUCUUCUUCUCCUUCUUUUUUCUUUUUCUUUUUAUUUAGAUUUUUACAACUUUAUUAUAAUAUUUAAGGGCUAAAUACUCUCUUUUCAGUCGAAGGUUAAUCCAAAUUGAAGUUCUAUUUAAGUUGUGAGAUUAUAUACUUCUAUUCUUUUCAUCUUAUUUCUAUUUUCUAUUAAUUUCGAAUUUCGAGAAACACCACCUCCAUUUUUGUCUUUUUAAAAAUUCAAGAAGCCUAUUGAAUCUCUUGAAUAACAUAUUACUAAUUAAACUAAUUAAAUCCGUAAUUGUUUAAUUGAAUUAAUUAUAAGUACUAAUUAACAUAUUAAUUUAUGUUAAGAAAUUAAUAGAUUUAAUUUAAAUAAAUAGUGUAUUUUUAUUGAUCAAGUAGUUCUUUCCUUUAAAUGCAGUUACUAUUAUAUGCUAAAUAUGCACGUGACAAAUUUUUCCUAGAAGAUUCUGGAAAUUCUAUUCUAGCAGGUAAAGAUGAAACUUUUGUUUAUGUUUCCUCUUCGUCAUAUUGCUUGCUCAAGCUUAUAGAUACAUGAUCAAUUCUCCAACUGCAGUUCUAUGUCUUCAAGGUAUGUAAAGCUAGAUGUUUAUUUCUUCGGUGUAAUUCUUUUGGAGAUAAUUACUGGGAAAUUACCUGUUAGUGAUAUUAGUUCCUAUGAUUCCUUCAACUUAAUUGAAUGGGUACGUAUUAAUUUUUCUCUUUUAAUACAAAUUAAAAGAGCUUCUUCAUUUGAGUAUGUAAGGAUUUAUUUAUUUAUUUUUCUUAACGUUCAGGCUGUUCCUGCAAUUCAAAAUGAUUGGCCCAAAGGCAACUAUAAGUUUGUUGAUGAAAAAUUGGGGAGCAACUUUGACGAGGAUGAAAUGGAUCGAAUGAUAGAAUGUGCUUUAGCAUGUGUAGAGCGUUAUCCACAAAAUCGACCAGAAAUGAGUAAGGUAAUUUCAUAAAGCUUUGUAUUCUAUUUUAUAUUAUGCAUAUAUACAUGUGAGUUUUAAAUGAUUCAGCAUUGUGUUAUAUUUUAGUAUUUAGAUAUCAGUAUUUCCAUCACUGCUCAUAAAAUUAUUAUUUUAAAACUAUUAAGAUAACAAUUUAAAAUUGCUAUAAAGAAAAUUUAUUGUAUAUUCAUUAAAAUCAUAAUUUUAAUUCUAUUUUUUAUUCAUUAUGAAAAAAUAAUUAAACCGUUAUUUUAUUAAUUUAUAAUUACAGUUAAAAAUAUAAGAUAAUAAUUUAUAAUUAUCGGCUUAAAUUUAUUUUUAUAAUAAUUAUUAUGAUAAACUAAUAACAUUCCUGUGUUGUAAUCAUACUCUAAUUUGGGGAAGAAAAAAAACUCAAUUGCUAAAAGUUAAAUUUUUUAAGAAUUAUUAAUGAAGUUAGUUUAUUCCAUUUCUUGGCAGAUCCAGUACUUUUUUUUCCUUUUUCUAAUUACUUUUCUCGGCAAAGCAGGUUGUUGAAGUUCUAGCAGGAAACAUUCCUCGGAAAAAUCUCAAGAAUUGAGAUGAAAUGUUUGAAAAGGAAAAUUAUUUUUUUCCUUUUCACUAGAAGUUGGAAACUUCCUUGAAAGGCCGAUUGGACAUUGAAAUAAAAGAUAGACUUCAGUUGAAGUGGCAAAAGGAGUGUAACUGGAAGACUUUCUGAAUUUUGCUUGUAUUGAUCUGUCUUGGAGACUAUUGCAACUAAAAAAAAAAGUUCCGUUUGAAAUAAAUCGAAUGUAAAAAAGUGAUUUAACUUAGAGUAAUUUUUUUAAUUAACUCUUUUUAGUUAAUAAAAUUAAAAUUUUAGUUAUUAUGUUUCUAAAUAUACAAAUUAAAUUAAAUUCUUAUAAAUUUUUAGUUUUCAAACAGGAAAAUAAAAGGUUUUGGAAGGUUUGAAUCCAAAUAAGAACCUUGAGAGAAUUAUAUCACAGCCAAAUUGCUGGACUAUCUACAGUAGCAUUUCUUUUUCAAAAACAAUUGAAAAUGAGGUUACUUCUUAUUUUAUUAAUUAAAAUUUUUAAAAAAAAAUUUUAAAGGAAAUCGAAAUUUGGAUACAUUUAUCAUCGGACGAAAUUUAUAAGUGUAAUAUUUAUUAUGUUUUAAUUAUAAUUUAAGAAUUUAAUAAGCUAAUAAAAUGUAAUUGUAUAUUUAACAUUAUUUUAAUCUUUAAGUCAAAAUCAAUAAUUCAACUCCAACCAUAGGUUAUGGCACUAAUCAAGUAACAGAGAAAAAUAUUUUUAAAGGGAAAUACUUAUUUUUAAUAAAACUAAUUAACUCAGAGUUAGCUUCUUUUAUCAGUUUAUAUGAAUUUUAUUAUAUUAAUAAUAAAAAUAUAUUUGUUAAAUAUGACCAAAAUUUUAAAAAUGACCCUCUUUUAAAUUCCAAUAUUAAUUUAAUUCCAAUAAACUUAUCAUAUUUCUCCUUAUUAUCCAUAAUAAACAAUGACCAAGAUUUUAAAAUGACCCUCUCUAAUUUAAUUCUAACAUUAAAAAUGACCAAAUUUAUUAUCUAUAUUAAACAAUGACCCAGCUUUUUAAAAAUGAUCCUUUGUAGUUUCUUCAUUUAUUAAUAUGCAAGUGGGACAUAAAAAAAUCAUUACUUAAUUAAUUUAGUACGUCCUAUUUUAUAAUACACUGACGAAUCUGAAAGCUGAUUGGCCCCCACAAAUGGAUUAAUUAAUAAUUCAACCUUCUUAAUUAAUGCCGCCUUCAUUGACAGCCUGGGUACUGUUCUGAAACUAACAAUAUAGUAAUCUUACUAUUGCACCGACUCUGCAUAAUUUGUAUUUUUUUAGUACUCCCUACUUUCAAACUUUAAUUUUCGCUAUCGCUGUUUAUUUGAUGAAUUAAAUUUUAAAUUAAAUCGAUUUGAAUAAAUUAAAAAUUUAAAUUUAAAUAUUUAUAAAAAUAAAAUUAAAUUAAUUUUAAUUAAAAAUUAAAUUGAAUUGAAUCGUUGUGAUUUAAUUUGAUUCGAUUUAAUUGAUUUAAAUUUUUAAUAAAUUUUUUAUUUUUUAUAUUUUAUUUUUAAUAUUUUAAAAUUUAAUUAAAAUAUUUUAAUUUUAAUAUAAUCUAAUAUCUUUAUAUUAUUAAACAUAAUAUACUAUUAUCAUUAAUCAAUUCAGUUUGAUUUUUUUAUUUUUUCUGAUCAAAAUUAAAAUAAUUAAAAAUUUUAAAAUUAAAAAUCAAAACAAAUUGAAAUAAAUAAAAAAUUAAAUUAAAUUUUUAAAUUAAUUUAAUUUAAUUAAUUUUUUUAAUUUAAACCGAAUAUUACUCAAUCUAAUUUUUCUCAUUUGCUAUCAAAAUUAAAUAAGAUAUUUUCUUAUUAAAAAAAUAUUAUACACAUGUAAAACAUAUAGGUUAAAUAUAUAUUUUUACAUAUUUAUAUUUUAAUAAGAAAAUUGGCCAACCAGAUCGAUUGGCCAACCAGAAUGAAGAUUGCUUUGGGUAUAGCAGAAGGAUUGGCAUAUUUGCAUGAAGAAUGUGAGGUUUUAACUUAUUUAGUUUUUUUUUUUCCCAAGUUUUCUAUAUUGCAUUUUAUACUUUUUAAUUUUAUGCAUUUUUAGGUAAACCAGGAAUCAUUCACCGAAAUAUUAAAAUUGAUAAUAUUAUUCUCGAUGAUGAAUUUAAUUCUAAGGUAUGAUAAUAUACUCACAGAAGAGAUUUAUAAAAAAUAAUUCAACAGCUAAACAUUUUAUAAUUAAUAUUAAAAAUGUAAAUAAAGUUUACAUUUAUAACUAUUAACUGUUUUAAUUAAUUACAAGUAAUUUUAAUUAUAAAUAAGUGGCCUUUCAAAAUCUUGAUUUAAAAUACCUUCUGUUUAGAAUUAAAAAAAACUUGUAAGAUUCAUAUCAACUUUGAAUUUAAAUUUAACUUAUUAGUUAUAAAUUAAUUUGAAUGACACAAUAAAUUACUUCUAUCAACUUUUUUCUUUUCAGAUUAGAAAUUUUGGAAUUUCCAAAGAAUUUGCGGAUUCAAAAACUCACGUUUCCACUAUCCCAAUGGGAACUCCAGAGUAAGAUUCGUUCUUAUUUGUUUGCUAAAUUUUCUUUCUCAAAGAAAAUUGGUUGAAUUAGUAGUUCUCAUUUGAUAAACACUUUCUUUAAGUGCAGUUAUCUCGCUCCUGAGCAUUACACCCAAGAUGAUCAAAAUAAGAAGCUCACCGAUAAGUCUGAUGUAUUUUCCUUUGGUGUCGUACUUCUAGAGCUGAUUACGGGAAAAUUAGCUGCUUUUGAGAAGGAACGCAGGGAAUAUAUUUUCUUAACUAUUUGGGUACUUAAAAAUAAAGAAUUUGAUAUUUUGUAUAUUCAAUAUUCAAGGGUUUUUUAUUUUUUAUUAUUUUUUCCCUGAUGGAAUGCUUAACUGACCUUUGUACAUCUAUUUUGAUUAUUCACAGGCCGUGCCUCUAUUGAAACAAAUUUUGGAUGCAGACUAUCAAGAUUUGGAUGCUGAAAAUUGUAAAGAAAUUUUUGAUUCCAAAUUACCGAACAAUUUUGAGAAAAAUGAUAUGAAAAAGCUUAUUUAUUCUGCUGCUUCUUGUGUAUAUAAACCUGCAAAGUUACGCCCACAUAUGUGCGAGGUAAAUUCACAAAACCAAACCAGUUAUUUUUGGAUUAUGCUUUGCACGUGAUUAUCAGUAAAAAUAUAUGAAAUAUAAUUUAAAAAAUACGUAAAAAUUAUUUGAUAAUUUUGCAUAUGUUAUUAAAAAUUGGGAGGGUGACUGCAUGUGAUUUUUUGAUGCAGAGAGUUAAAGUACUAAAUGGAGAUAUGGAACCCAAAACUAUAUGGGUGAGAAGUGAUUGCAAGUACCUAUACAAUGGGUCACCUUACGCUCCAUUUCCUCAAGCUCAGGGAACCUCCAGCUCUUGAUUUCUAUCCAAUACAUGAAUUAACCUCCGCCUUGUAAUAAAAAAGUACGUGUUCUUGCUAAAUGCACGUGCUUUUCUAAGGGAUCAAUUAGUUAAUAAGAAUGUGUUCCUUGCUGUUUUUUUUUAAAUAUUAAUAAUGAUUGAUAUUGAAUAAUUUUUUCAUGUAUAUAUAUAUAUAUAUAUAUAUAUUGGCAGAAUAUAUAAUAUCCAUUAAGUAUUAUUUUAAAACAAAGAGAUAAUAAUUUUGACCAAACUGUCAAUUGCUUGAUCCCAUAAGAAGUAUUUCUGCAAAAAGAUUAAAGUAUAUGAGUAGUUAGUAAUUACACAUUUCAUAUUAUAGGUCAAAAUGCUUAAAGAAUUAUGUUUCACCUUGAAUUCCUGCCAAUAAAACUCCUUAGUGUCAUUUGGCACUGUCUUCCAACAGUGCCCUUCUGCGACCAAUCUUUCUUUUAUUAUCAGAGUAAUCCUGCGACUGUACAUCUCCAACGGAUGUAAACUACAUGAACAAUGGUGAGUUAGUAUAGGGUAACAUUGAAAUUAAUCGUAAUUAAGAAAUAAUUAAAUAUUACUUGUUAUUAAUGAGUGAAAUGGUCUAUUGGAAUGACUGUGUGCCGCCUACAGCAGUGGUCGAACCAGCUGAUGCUGGAGCAAAUGCUGGAGCAGAUGAUGAAGUAGAUGCUAAUGCAGAUCCUGAUAACUGAGAGUGAGUUUAGCAUCCAGGCCAUAAUUCUUGUUUAGAUGCAUUUAACAUAUCAUACAGUUUCUGUGCAGCAGAGUUUGACAUCUCAUAUGUAUCAUUAUUUAUUGCAUGAUAGCUUGUUGCAUCCAUGACCAUGUCGUCUAACCAAUUGAAAUUUGGGUGAUUAACACUAUCAGAAAUAUAAGACGUGUCUAAUAGUGCAUCACCAGAUCCGUCAUGCACUUCAGUUUCACCGUGCAAAUACCAAACAAGAUAAUUUUGCACAAAACUAUACUUCAUUAAAUGAUAUUUUACUGUAUUUUCAUCUUGAAAACUACAGUUCUGACACUUAAAUCGAUUGCAAGGGCAGUGAAUCUGAUCACCAUUUAAAUAAUAUGGGCAGUUCUUAGCCUUUUCUAUAAAUUCAUUGAUCCCCUCUAAAUAUCUGGGAUUAAAUAAAUCAUCUCUAAGACAGGCAUACAUCCAACUUCUUUUAGCAGUCAUAUUAACUACAAUAACGAUGUUGAUAUGAAAACAUAAAACUUAUAAACCCUAUCUUCAAACGAAGCCUGAAAAGUAACAAUUAAAUUAUGUAUUAUAUCUAAAAUAUGCAGUAAUUAUAUCAAUUUUCCUUGAGAGGAUAAUUGAUGCAAAAAAUGGAAUAAUAAUACAAAAAUCUGAAUUACAUGAUAAUUAAUUACUAAUAUCUUCAUAAUCACGCGUUUAAUUAAUUAUUAGGUCUGUAAAUUUAUUAAGUGCGCCAAAUUAUUUUAGAGAAGUGCACCUGUAGGUGCACUGGAAAGAAAUCACAAAUUUCAAGAAAUCACAAAUUUCACAAAAAUCAAAAAUUUUAAAAAUAUAAAACAUUUCACAAAAAUUUCACAAGACUGGAAUACAUGAUUAAGACAGAACAUGAAUCAGGUCAAACAUGAAUAAAAAAUCAAUCGGAACAUGAAUCAGGAAGAAAAUAGCGCACCUGUGGACACUGUCUGUCUAGAAUGGCAAGACUGGAGAGAGAGAGAAGGGUUCACUCGUGGACCAUGAUGCCGAGAAAGGGUGCACCUGUAGACGGUGGAUGGCAGGCGGUGGUGAAAGACCCAGAGGUUGGACGCAAAUUCGAAUUUCAGAGAGAUUUUAAUUUUUCAAACAUACGAUUUAGGGAUUUCAGUUAGGAUAUUGUGUAUUUGGGUUUAUAAUUCACUAACGGAUGAUUAGUCUGUUAGUGAAAAAAACAUUAGAUUAAAAAAUAAUAAAAUCACUUACGGAUUUCUAACAGAAAAAAUGUCCGUUAGUAUUUCACUAACGGACUUGUGACAGAUGGUUACGAACGUAUUCUUCACUAAUGAAAAUACUAACGGUUAUGUACUUCCGUUAGUAGAUAAUAAGUUUUCAAUGUUCCGUUAGAGAUAACCGUUAGUAUCAUUAACGGAUUUCAAUCUAUUAGUGAAGUCGGUUAGUGAUCAAUUGAAUUUUUGUAGUGUUUUGAAUACAAAAAUUUUAUAUUUUUUUUCACGACUCCAAUCGUGACUUAGCUGAAAAUUUUCGUAUUGCGUGUAAUACCCAUUAAAAUUAAUCCAAAUAACUUUUAAAUCUAUUUUUUAUUAGACCUAAAAUGAUUAACCCUAUUUAUUUAUUUAUUCAGUGCUUACUAUUAUAUAUAUAUUCUCAUUAUCCCUGUUAUAUAUUUUACCCAUGUGGGAUUGAAAUCUCAACUAAGGAGUAGGCACCACACUAUGAGCCAAAUUUGAUAAAAAAAAAAAAAGUGAAUAUGUGUUGAGAUAGGGUUUAAAUAUAAAUAGCCUUUCAACCAAUUUCAAUAUAAUUAAUCAAGUAAAUUAAAUAUUUUUAAAAAAUAAAAUAAAUGUGUAAUUAUCAAAUAUAUGUAAGGUAUAUAUGGAUAGCUAAAUGUUUUUCCUCUUCCCACGUUUAUUUAUACUAUAUUUUUUAACGUGCCUCUACACUUUUUAAACUCGUUCUGCAUAUUAUUUAUUCAUUUAAAUAGCCAAUUAAAUUUGAUAUUCUAUUAUUAUAAUAUUAAAUUCUUAUAACUAUAAUUUAUAUCUAACUAUAAUUAGAUAGAAAAAUUAUAAUAUAAUAAAAUAAAAAAGGUAUAUUAUUUUAGUUAAUUUUAUUAUUACAAAUAAAAUAUUAAAAAUUUGCAAGUAAAACAUGAAUUUAUUAUUCUUAUUCCUAGGGUCAACCGUCAACGUUAUAUUUUUUUUAAAGGAGAAUCCAAGACUGAACGCUAAAAUUUCCUACAGCUUUCUCUCAUUUCUAUGAUCUAAAUUUAUUAUAAUUAUAAGCAAAAUUCCGUAAAAAAAAUAGAAAGGUGAAAUUGUUAAAAAAGACACAUGAUUUUAUUUGAUAAUGAUAUAUUAUUUUGUAUUUUAAUUGGCUGAAAAAUAUAAAAAUUUAUUAUUGUUUAAAUAAUAAUUUCUUAUUUCAAUUUAAAUUCUAUAAUUUUACAAAGAAUAUAAUAUCACAAAUAAAAUUUUUGAUAUUUUAAAAGCUUGAAUAUUUAUUUAAGAAUUAUCAUAAUCUUUGUUGUGAAAAGAAAAACAUUUUAUUGUAUGAUUUAAUUAAUUUAUAUAUUUUAAUUUUUUUUUGAAAUUUUUCAAAAUAUUUUUUAUAUACAAUCAUUUUUUUUAUCUAAAAUAAAUGGAUCUUUAAUAUUGGUAAAUACGAUAUAAAAUGUGGUAGGACGUAAUAGAUUCAGAAAUUUGAUUAAAAUCCUGCUUUGUUCUUUUUAAGUGAAAGAAUAUUGAGAAAUUUGAUUACUAUAAAAUAAAUUUAAAUAACUUUUUAUAAAAUUAUUUAUGAUUUUAUUUUUAUAUAUAAUAAAAAAAUUUAAAAUUAAAAAAUUUUGAAUUCUUUUAUUUUAAAUAAAAUUUUAUAAAAAUAACUUCAAUUAAAUUAAAUUUUUAUAAAAUUUUUAAUUUCAAAAUGGAAGGUUAAAGUAUUUUAUUAGAAUUCAAAGUCUUGUGGUCCAGGUCUUUUAUUAUUCUUAUUAUUAUUUUUUUGUUCUGUUUUAUUAGAAAAUGUUAAUUCUAGAAGGCUGAAUAAUCAACGAUUGGACAUGCUUCCAUCUCAUUGGAUAGAUAGUCACCUUACGAUCCCAGCUCCAUAAUAAGGGGAGAUAUUUUAUCAUAGGACACGGCUUCAAAGCUCAAUAUCUUUCACACUUGUAAAUUAGUGCUUUUUUAGAUUUUAGUUUUUUAAUCUUACCAUGAAUUUUUAUUGUGCUUAUUUAACUGCAGCUAUGUAGCUACGUAUAUCCAUUCGCAAUAUUUCUAAUAAAUCAGAUUUUAUUUAUUUGAUAUUAUAUUUUUUAAAUUAAUUACCGAAAGAAUGUUCAUAGAAAAUGGUGUUGAUAUUGGAAAUUAGAUAUGUAAUAUACAUGUAGCAUACUCUAAAAAUUUAUGAUACUUAAUUAUAUAAGUAAAAGAUUUUUUUCUAUUAAUGCUAAAAAGGUAAAAAAAUAUAUAUAUUUAGUAUCUAAAAAGUAAAAUAAAUAUUCACAUACAACUUCUAUUUAUAUUAAUACAUUUGAAAUUCUAGUCUAAACUCAACUUAAUAAAAAUAUAUAUUUUUUAUUAAAUAUCUUACAGACAAAAUCUCGAAUUAAAAAAAUUUUGAUCGAAUAAAUUGUAGCUUUUGUAAAUUCUACAUUGAGGUUUGAUCACAAAACAAUAUAUUGAAUGAUUUUCUAUAUUGAUGCUUGUAUAAGUAACCCUUUAAAUUUUCGCCUAUCAGUAAAGAAAAAAAAAAUUUAUUCAUGUAUUGUAUUAAUAAUUAGUAAUAUAUAAAAUAAUUUCAUGGUUAUUAUGUCAUAUGGAUACUUCUAGCUUUCGAAGAAAUUUUAUAUUCUGGUGAAUUAUGUCACAAAAAGGUGUAGAUUAUAACUGUUUAGUUUUAACUUUAUUUCAGAAAUCUCACCAAUUUUAAUUUUUUAAAAAUUAAAAAAUUAUUAUAUCUGAAAUAAUUGUAAAAAAAAAUAAAAUAAUUUAUUUAUAAAAUAUACUGCAGAUGUAAAAAUAUGAUUAAUUUUAUUUUAAAAAAAUAAAAAUAAAAAUAAUUAAAUUAAUAUAUUACAUUCUUAAUAAUAAUAAAAAUAUAAAAAAAUUUAAUUAGUAUUAUAUUCAAAUCAAAUACAAAAAUUAAGAAAGAGAAUAUAAAAUUAGAAUUAAGAUGUAUAAUUGGAUACAAGAUAAUUAUUUAUUAAUUAAUUUAUAAAAAAUUAUAUAAAAUAUCCAAACCAAUCCAAUUGGUUGGUUUAAAUUAGGUUGGAUUUUGUGAUUCGACCUGAAGACUAAUAGCAACAAAUAAUUUUAAAAUUAAUUAAUUAAUGAAUGAAACGUCAUCAUUGAUUCUGAAAGAUGGAAAAGUUUAUCUUUCAAUUCAAAUUAAUUAUCCAUUGAUAGAGUCAUUAUCAUGAGUGUAGACAUUCAUAUACUGUAUGAGAGAUCAACCUCAUCUUCUCCGUUGUCUUAAAAAAUAAUUUAUUAAAAAACACCAACUUAAUUGUUAAUUUAUAUAACUUUUAUAUUUUAAAUAUUCUUUUGAUUAAAACAAAAAUAACAUUUUUUAAAUUAAAUUUAUACUAAAAAUUCAUAUAUAUUUAAUAUAUAAAUAUGAUAUAAUUCAAUAUUUAUUCAAAUUAUAAUAUACGGUGAUAAUUUUUUUUAAUCUAAAUGAUAAUAUGUUCGUAAUUAGAAAAUUCGAAUAUUCAGAUUUAAGUGUUCUCACGAUGUUUACCAAAAUAUUUGAUUUUACGAUGGCAAAGUCUCCUUGAGGCUUAUUUCUCACCGGUAAGGAUUAUUAUAAAUCAACCAUCAAAAAGUUUUUUUUUCAAAGAUUUUGAAUUACAAUAAAAAUUAUUAUAAGAAUUUAAACCAAAAAAAUGAAAAUUUUGAAAUUUAUACACUCAACAAUUAAUUAAAUUAAUAAAAUUUAGAUUAAAUUACUUUGAAUUUUUUAAAAAAUUUUAAAUUAUCUAUCUAAUAAAAUUAUUAUUUUUUAUUAAUAGUCAAAUAGAAUUUAACUAAAAUUAUCUAUUAAAAUAAUAUCAUCAAUAAAACUACAAGAAUAUUUAAAUAAUAUAAUACAAUAAUUAUUUUAAAUAUUUUGUUUAACUUUUUAAGCAUUUAGAUGAUAUUAAAAUUAGAAUAUUUUUUAAAAUUAAAACAAUCUCUUUUGAAUAUUAUUUUAAACUCAUCAAAAAAAUUAAAAUAAUCUCAUUAAUAAAACUAUAAAAAUAUUUAAGUAAAUUUAAAGUAUUCCGUUGCAUUCAUAUAUAUAUAUAUAGUUUUUAUAAAUGUCCUCAAAAUUUUCAAGGUAAACAUGCUUAACGAAUUUUUAUAUUUUGAAAAUAUUGCACCAUUGUUUUAUAAGUUUAAUUAUUAUUAAUUAAAUAUAUGCUUUUCAUAUAUAAUUAAUCAAUUUGGGAUGUGAUACCAUAGACGAAUUUUGCGCAACAUUCUCCACUUGAAUUUCUUUCGAUAAAAUUACCGCUAUUCCUUUUUUUUCCAUCAUAUACUAAAGUGGUUGUACAUGUAGGAUUGUCUGCAUGCUACAAUAACUCAAUAAAAAAUUAAUAAUUAUAUAAAUAUAGCAUAAUAAUAGAUGAAUAAAUAAUAUUUAAAAGUUUGUAGUCCACCAGAGUCUAAUACACAAGCCUAUCCUUUAACAUGCUACUCAAACUAUGCUCGGAUAGGCCGAGCAGAACGAGACUUGAGCCCAACGGAGAAGGAUCCAGCUCACCUUAUUUGAUGGGUCCGUGAAAAAUAGACCCCUUCACAUCUAGAACCAUGUCAGCAUGGACGCCGGAGGGAAUUAAUUAGCUACCUGACGAUGGAGAAAAAGGGUAGUACGUCCAUACAUACAGUUUUGUAUGAUUGCAGCAUGUGACACUGUAGUAAGGUGACAGUUAUACGUCAUUAAAGGAUAAAAAGAAAAAAAGAAUAAAGGAAAAAGACGUGAACUAUUCAGACUAAACUUACAUACACAUACCCAAAACUCUACCCUCUUCUAGAUCUCAUAUCAUAACUGGCGUCGUCUGUGGGAACGGAGGAGAUCUUUUCAUCACUAGAGUUCUCAUCUUGGUUACACUCACUGAGAUUCACAUGGUGAAUCAUGAUAAAAAUCACUUUGGAAAUACCCCAAAUGACCUAAGUUCCACCUAUGAAAGUCAACAGUUUUCAUUCUCCAAUUCUACGGCCUCAUCAAACCAAUCACCUGCAUUGUUUCACCCCUCGCUGAACUCGGCAGGAAACAUGUCUAGAACCACUCUUUCUGACCAAGAACUACAAAAUAUGGCUAUCCAACUACAGAAUACAGCUCACUGGCUGGAGCAAAUAUUACAGCAAAGGGGACUCAACACCCUAUUAAGUGUACCACCUAUAGCCGAGGGCUUCAACGUUAAUGAGUUCCAGCCUACCUUGAAUCACCAAGUCCCUCAGCAAAGCAGUAGGAGGAUAAGCGAAGGAGGCGAAGAGGCUUGCAGAAGAAAUGAGUCAACAGCUAGAACAAGGGCCUGAAUGAUUAGGGAGCUCAUCGAAAACGACGAAGUCAAGAGCUAUUCCUCCAAGAAGAUAGGAGGAUCGAAAAGUGAAGAGUUGGAAAGAGGCUACCGCUUGGAGAAACGGCCGAGAAGGGAAGAGGUGGAUGUGGACUAAAAGCUGGAAAGGUUGAGGAAGCAACUCUUGCCAGAACUGGGGGCACGAGAUAACAAUAACCCCCUGAUACCUAUCUCAUUACCGUUCGCGAGAUGGGUACAACAGGAGACUACUGCUAAGAAAUUCAUGAUGCCGCCGAUGACUGCAUCCGAUGGCAUGGGAAACCCCCGAGAAUAUGUCCUAAACUACAAAAUGUUUAUGGAGCUCUAGACCCAUUCUGAUGCUCUAAUGUGCAAGGUCUUUUCUACCACCCUCACCGAACCAGCCCGGACAUGGUUCAACAACUUAGAAGUAGUGGGCAUUAAGAGCUUCAUGGACCUGGCAAGUGUAUUCAUUAGCAGGUUCAUUGUAGGGGGUCCCGGCGGAAAGAAAAAUGAGCUACUUAAAGAUAAUCGGACAAAGGAGGAAUGAGUCUUUAAAGGAGUACAUAGCUAAAUUCAAUUUUAAGGCCCUACAGAUCCCUAAGCUUGAUGAGGCUAGAGAGGAUAGAGGCCAUGCAGAAAGGGACAACAUCCCAGGAGUUUUUUUGGCUCAUUAUGCAAAAAGCCACCCACUACCUUGGCCGAACUGAUGAAAAGGGUUAACAAAUACAUAAGGCAGGAUGAUGCCCUGACCACCAGUAGGUUUACCAGGGAAAUGGGAGAUAGGAGGAAAGUAGUAGAGGACAGACGACCUGAAAGGCAGGAGAGAAGACAGAAUUGGGGGCCCGAAGCAUUGAACAAGCACCAAUGGGAGAGGAAAGAGCAGAGGCUAUACCAACUCCUGAUUCCCGAGCUAAUCACUCUUGAAUGUGUCUAGGGCAGAGGUGCUUGUGGCUGUACAGGAUAAAGACUUUAUACAAUGGCCCAAGCCUAUGAAAGCCAAAGCCAGCCGAAGAGAUCCGAACAAGUACUGUCAAUACCACUGGACUUAUGGCCAUGACAACAAUGACUACUAUCAGCUGAUAAAUGAAAUAGAAAGGCUCAUUAAAAAGGGGCAUCUCAGGAACUUUGUGAAGAAACCAGAGGGACAGAGACCUCAGCAAAAUGCAAUGGCAUAGAGGCCUCACAGGCAGAUAAGAGGACUUGUGAAUGAUGACUCCAGUGGGAUGAUCAACAUGAUUGUGGGAGAAUCUGAGAUAAGAAUGAGAAGGAGGAGAAAGAAGAGGACCAGGAGUGGAGAAGGAAGUAGUGCCGAAAUCAUGUAGAUAGUGGAACAGUACCCUGUGACCAUCUCUUUCUCUCCAGAAGACGCCCAUGGAAUCCAAAUGUCUCAUGACGAUGCCCUGGUUAUUGAGGCCGUCAUUCACAACUUUCAGAUCCGCAAAGUCUUGGUGGACGAUGGGAGUAAGGUGAAUCUGCUACUUUACCGGGUCUUUCAAUAAAUGAACGUACCUGAAGUACAACUGGUCAGGGAUCAGGCCCCGGUUAAGGGGAUAGGUGGAACCCUCGUGGCAGUAAAAGGGAAAGUGAAAGUAGCCUUGAUGCUAGGAGAGCCACCCCUGUCCCGCACCCACUAUGCAUUAUUCCUUGUGGUGAAGCUGCCUCUGAACUAUAGCGCUAUUUUGGGAAGGCCGAUACUAUACGACUUCAAGGUUGUGACCAGUAUCCGGUACCUAACCAUGAAAUUCCCCACGGAGUUAGGGGUGGGCAUAGUGCGGGGAAGGCAGGAGGAGGCUUGAGCUGUAUAUUUGGCCACUAUGGAAGAACCGAGCACCCUGCCAGAAGAAAUAAACCAGGAGGUCAUGGAGGUCCAAAAUGAGAAAAAGGAAACCGGGAUAGAGCCAGUUGAUAAGCUGGAGACAUUCCCACUAUUUGAGGAGGAAAGCGACAAAGUCUUCAGUAUUAAGAGAACCUUGGAAAAGACUAAAAAGAGAUAGCAAUGACUCUUAUCGGAGGGCAUGCCUCAGGAUUUGCCUGGAGGCUUUCAGACAUGUCGGGGAUAGACCCUGAGGUGAUGAUGCACAAAUUGAAUGUCCUUCCUGAAGCCAAACUAAUAAAAUAGAGGAAAAGAGUGUUUGGGAAGGAGAAGCAACAAGCUACAAGAGAAGAAGUGCAAAAACUGGAAGAGGCAGGAUUUAUUAGGGAAGUCAUAUACCCAUAGUAGUUAGCCAACCCUGUGCUAGUCAAAAAGGCCAAUGGAAGUAUAGAAUGUGUAUAGACUUUACCGACCUAAAUCAGGCUUACCCAAAAGAUUGUUAUUCCCUUCUCGAUAUUAAUAAAAUGAUCAAUUCUAUGGCCAAUUUUGAUUAUUUGUCAUCCUUAGAUGAAAUAUCAGGUAUCACCAAAUUCCUAUGGACAGGUCGGAUGAAAAAAAUACGUCCUUCAUAACUGAAGAUGGGACAUAUUGUUACAAGGCUAUGCCGUUCAGACUAAAAAAUGUCGGGGCAACAUACCAACUAUUAGUGAAUAAAAUCUUCAAGGAUUAGGUAGGGAGAAAUGUGGAAGUAUACGUAAAUGACAUGGUAGUAAAAAGCCAAACCUUUCAACAACACCUAGCCAACCUGGAAGAGAUAUUCAGGAUACUGCAGCAGUACAAAAUGAGAUUGUACCCAACAAAGUGUGUAUUCUUUAUCAGGGGAGGAAAUUUCUAUGCUACAUGGUCAGCAAAAAGGGCAUAGAGCCAAAUCCAGAAAAAGUAGAAGCCAUAUUAAGAAUGCUCAAACCGACCUGUGUGAGAGAUGUGUAGAAACUUACAGGAAAAGUGAUGGCGCUCAAUCAAUUCAUGUUGAAGUUAGCUGAAAGAUGUUUACCAUUCUUCAAGAAGUUGAGGAAAGUUUUGAACUUUGAACGGGCAGAAGACUACUAAGAAGCCUUUAGAAAUAUCAAGCAAUAUCUCAGUUCUUUGCAUGUACUUAGUAGCCCUUUAGUUGGGGAGGAAUUUCUGAUAUAUUUAGCCGCCUCUGAAUAAGCUGUAAGCGCAGUAUUGGUGAGGGAUGAAGGUGGGACGCAUAAUCUUAUUUUCUAUGUCAGUAAGUUGCUCAAGGAUGCCGAGGUCAGGUAUAUGAACAUUCAGAAAUUGUCGUUUGCCUUGUUGCUGGCGGUAAGGAAGUUCAGAGUAUACCUAGAAUGCCACCAAAGGAUAGUGAUGACUGACCAACCUUUAAAGAAAAUGUUACACAGACUUGAGACCUCGGGGUGGAUGCUAGCCUGGUCUGUUGAAAUUAGCCCAUAUUGCCUCAUUUAUCGACCUCGGGCUGCCAUCAAAGCCCAAGCCUUAGUUGCCUUCAUAAUUGAGUGCUCUUUUAGCUUAGACCAUCAGGAACAAAGUGAGAGGUUAUCGAGCUCAGCCAAAGAGAAGGAAGGGGACCAACAACCGUGUGAGCUCAAAUGGGACCUAUUCAUGGACGGAGCAUCCAGCGCUGUGGGCAGUGGGGCAGGGAUACUUUUGAAAGGACCAUAUGGAUUCAGGGUGUGCUGUGUUUUGCAUUUAGAGUUCCCAGCAUCCAAUAAUAUGGUAGAGAAUGAAGCCCUCAUGGGGGCAACCGACCUGAAAAUAAAUAGUGACUCCCAGCUUGUGAUCAACCAAAUAACAAGGGUAUACCAGGCAAAAGAUCUCGUCAUGCAAAAAUAUAUGGCCAAGUUCCAAGCUGUAGAGGUCGAGUUCGUUGAGCAGGGGAUUGUUAUACAGUAUCAAAGAAUGCCUCGAGAGGAAAAUGAAGAAUGUAAUACCCGGCUAGAAUCCGGCACCGGAAUGCCUAUUGUCAGGUGGAAUCCGGGGUGUUGGGAUUCUAUAUAAGGGGAGGAGUUAUGUUUUCUAAGUGUUAUGAUGUGUUUUCUGGGUUUACAGUGUGAUAGUUUUGAGUUGCAAUGAACCAAGGCAGAGGAGCCAAGUUCGGCCGCCGAAGAUAAGUUCGGCCGCCGAAAGUGCCCCAUGUUCGGCUUCCGAAGGUACGUUCGGCCCCCGAAUGUUGCAUGGUUUUGCAUGCGAUUCGGCAGCCGAAAUUGAGUUGGCCAGCCAGCUGUUGGGCAUCCUUAGUCAGCAUUUUGGACAGGUGUUAUCACCAGAUCAUGUCCAGAAGUUGGCCACGUCUCCUAUGCUUUAUGUGCUAAGUUUGAGCAGCUCAUGCAAGAGGUUGCUCGUUUACCAAGUUGUGAAGGUUUUGAAGCAAAAAGUGAGGUUGAGAGAGUUUGAGAGUGUGAGAAGAGUUGGUCCGUUUUCCCUUGUUCAGAGUGUUUAGCUUCUUGCUUCAGGAGGUAAGUGAUGCUCUUGACUAGGGUUUUAUGUUUUCUGAAGGUUUUAUGGGAGUUGGGGAGAGAGAGAUGCAUGUUUAGGGAGUUAAUGGGAGAUUUGAUGCUUUAUGCAUGUAUUCCUGAUUAUGUGUUAUGUUUGUUUUGUUGUUUGGGGUUGUUAGAUAGUUUUGGACCCCUGUGACCAUAUACAUGAGUAUAUGUGAGUGGAAUAGAGGAGGUAGGCAUGUUUGGAGAGAUUGAAGGGAAGGAGGAGAUGGUUUGCCGUGGAAGCUGAGUUCUGGAUGAACUCAGGUUCGGCAGCCGAAGGAUCAUUCGGCCGCCGAACCUCCUGCAUGGUGACUUGGUUGCCACAGCUUGCCCCCGAGUGUUUUUGCAUGUUCGGCUCUGUUUGGGGGAUUCGGCCGCCGAAGGUGCCGCCGAAGGUGCUUGAGUUUCAUCUCUGGAGAGGACAUUCGGCCGCCGAACCUGCCGCCGAAAGUGUUCUGUCCAGCUUUUCUUUUGCAUGCUUUGCAUGGCUAGUUAAGUGAGUUUCAGGGGAUUCUUGGGGAGUUUAAUAGAGGUAUUGAUAAGUUAGUUUGGUCCCUCAUUUGAGUCUAUCUGUAUAGGUACAGACCAGAGGAACCAGAGAGAGCAGCAGUGAGUACUGCUCCAGAGUUUCAGAGCCUGCAGAGUCAGUCAGUCCAGAUAGCCGGAGGUGAGUGGAACUAAACUUAUGACUUUUAAUUGAACCACAAACUGCUUUUAGCAUAUCUCAUGCAUCAUGUUUAUGCCAUAGGGUGAUUGCAUUAGUAUCCACGAAUAUGUUGCAUUGCAUUGUUAUUUGAUGAUGUGAGGAAAUGCUGAAUGAUCCAAUAGUCUCAGACAGGAAGUCCAGGAGCCUUUGACUACGCCCUGGCAGGUAUAGAGAAGUCCAGGAGCCUUUGACUACGCCCUGGCAGGUAUAUAGUAAAGUCCAGGAGCCUUUGACUACGCCCUGGCAAUGUUACAAAGAAGCAUACCUUCUCAGCAAGCUGUCCAAAGAAGAACUAGAACAACUCCCAGACAAAGUGUACAUACAACACAUUAAUGCCCCUACUUAUGAAAAAUCAGCCCCAAUCAUGCAGAUCGGAGAGGAAAGGAGCUGGAUGACUCCCUAUUUGGAGUACAUGGAGGCAGGAAAGUUACAUGAGGACAAAGCAGAAGCAAGAAAGAUUGUACCUAAGGCUGUAAAUUAUCAAACAGUAAGGGGGACCCUGUACAAAAGGGGAAAAUCUAGCCCGAGGCUAAGGUGUGUGGACCUGGAAGAGGCGGCCGAAAUUGUUAGGGAGAUACAUCGAGGAGUUUGUGGAGUCCACGAAAGAGCAACCACGUUGGCAAACAAAAUAUUCCGGCAAGGGUAUUACUGGCCCACAGUUAAGAAGGAAGCAGAAGAGUUUGUCAGAAGAUGUGAUGUAUGCCAAAGGUCUGCUAAUGUCAUUAACAGCUCGACCACGCCACAGUUAAGUAUAUCUAGCCCUUGACCAUUCACCCAGUGGGGGAUCGAUAUACUGGGUCCUUUUUCAAAGAUGGUGGAGAAGAAGAGGUUCGUGAUAGUGGCUGUGGAAUACUUCUUCAAGUGGCCAGAGGCAAAAGCUGUACCCAAUAUCACAGCUCGCAAGGUGAUAAACUUUGUCUGGGGCAACAUCAUAUGCCAAUUUGGGAUAUCGAGGAUGCUCAUAUCAGACAAUAGCAAGCAAUUUGACUGCAGAUCCUUCAAGGACUUCACAAAAAAUAUGGGCAUAUGGCACAAGUUUUCUUUGGUAGCCCACCCUCAAACAAAUGAUCAAACAGAAGUAACGAACCAGGGUAUCCUCCAAGGACUAAAAAAAUGGUUGGAUAGAGCUAAAAAGAAUUGGCCAGCCGAGCUAAACAAUAUCCUAUAGGCAUUUCGGACUACCCCUCAGAUGCCGACGAGAGAGACUCCGUUUGCAGUAGCAUUCGGGACUGAGGCUGUAUUUCCCAUAGAGCUGCAGAUCCCCUCUCACCGAGUUCAGUUCCAUGAUGAGAAUACCAAUGGAGAGAAAUUGAGGAGUAACUUGGAUGCCCUGAGGAAGUCAGAGAAGAGGCUCAAAUAAGAACAACUACUUAUCAAUAGAAGGCAGCACGAUACUACAAUCAGAAGGGUCGCAAGAGGAGCCUAAAGGUUGAAGACUUGGCCCUGAGAAGAUUAGACGCAACGAGAAAGAGAACACAUGUGGGAAAAUUGGUGCUAACCUGGGAAGGCCCCUUCAGGAUAGCUAAAGUCGUCAAGCCCGGGGUGCACCGAAUUGAAGACCUACAGGGGCACUCAGAGCCUCACGCGUGGAAUAUCCAGCACUUAAAUAGGUAUUUUGCAUAAGAAAGAGCAUAAUAUAAAACCAUGUCCUUUGAAAUAUGAAUAAAAAUUGUUGUUUCUCCUUUUCUAUUUAGCAUUCCUAAGAGCAGGUAGAGAAGACCCAAGUGAGGUGGAUGACCGGUCUCGGAAUAUGACCAUCGACACCAAAAAACCGGUUGAGGGGAAGAAGACCCCAGUGAGGUGGGUGACCGGUCUCGAAAUAUGACCAUCGGCACCAAAAAACUGGCUGAGGGGAAGAAGACUUUAGUGAGGUGGGUGACCGGUCUUGGAAUAUGACCACCGGCACCAAAUAACUGGCUGAGGGAAAGAAGACCCCCGUGAGAUGGGUGACCGGUCUCGGAAUAUGACCAUCAGUACCAAAAAACCGACUGAGGGGAAGAAGACUCCAGUGAGGUGGGUGACCGGCCUCGGAAUAUGACCACGACACUACAAAAUCGAUUGGAAAAAAAGAAGACCAACAUAAGAAAAACGACAUUAAACAAAGGCCAUGAGCCUCCCAAAGAAAAAUUGAGCAAUAAAUAGUCGACCUAAAAUAGAACUUUGGCUUAAUUAAGACCCAGCAAAUAAGGAAAAAUCGGAUCCCAAGAAAAGAUCUCAGAACACCCAGGAAUGAUGGAUAAAAAUUUGAUUUCGACCUCGCCUAAAGGAUCGGAACACAGAACCACGAAUCAUAAACUCAAAUCCGACCUCAUUGAGGGAUACAGAUUUCAAUAACAUCAGAAAGGCCUAAAUCCAAAUCAAUUAAAAGGCUCGAACUACAGGAAAAAGAGGUCCCAAUACCAUAAAAAUGAGCUCAGCCCACUUAAAGUCCUUAGGCAAAUAAAGGGUAAAUCAGGAAAAUCCAGCCGAACGAGCUCACAAGCUAAACAUGAGAAAAAAACCUAAGUAUAAUAUAACCGAGCUCACAGCCCUAACGAGCUCGUAGGCUAAACAUGCGAAAAAAGUCUAAGUAUAAUAUAACCGAGCUCAUAGGCUAAACAUGCAAAAAAAGUAAUGCAAACGAGCUUACAGCCUAAGUAAAGCUCACAAAGCUAAAUACAUAAAAAUAUCUUAAGUGCAUUAAAACAAGUAAGCCAACAAAUUGGCAAGGCUUGCAGGCCGUGUGUGCAGAAAUAGCUUAAGUAAAUGGGUUAAGCGAGCUGAGAGGCUUGGCCGUUGCUUAAGUACAAAAGGGUAUAAACAUAAAUAAACCAAGUUCAAAGGGGCCAUUAGCUCGGAAAAAAACGCAGAAACUACACAUCCCGAAAUUUUUUAAGUAGGCAAGCAAAACACACGUUAAAGUCAAAAUUUACGAGCUACCAGCCUAAUAAAAGUUCACAAGCGAUUCAUACAAAACAAUUUAAAUAUAAAGUGAUAAAUAAAAUAGACACGAAUAAGUCAAGGAAAAAUAUAAACUUUAUUGAUUAUUUGAAUGGGUUAUAGAGGUAGCAGAGGAGGGGGAACCAAAACUAACUAAGUCAUUUAAAGAUUUGUCCACAGCAUCCUCUCCCUCAGGUCUGGAGGGCAAGCGAGGAGCACCUUUGAGCAAAGGAUUGUCGUCCUCUCCAUAACGCACCUCUUCACCAUCAGAGUCCAUUUUUGGAGCUCGUAGGUCCGCCAAUGGAGUGGAGGGGGCAUCCCUAGUAGACUUCAAGCCCUGGUUAUAGCCUGAGGCAAAAAUUUGAAAAGCCUUCUUAUAUAUAGCCUCCUGCAUAGGCCUUAUACUCCUCUAGUUGUGCUUCGCAGGCAAGAUGAAUUAUAUCUUUAAGCUCCAAAGAGUUUUUAUACUAUUGUAGGCACUCCUCGCAAGCCCGCUGGACCCUAUCCCUUGCGGCUCAGGCAUCCUUCAACAAGGCAGAACAUCUCUUCUCCAGAGCAGUGACUUUUUGGUGGAGUUAUUGUUGCUGAAGGUGAGACUCCUCCGCUGCCAAGGCCAUGCCUUUCAGGUCCUCGAUGUGUUUAUUGAGCUCCUAUUGGAGGACUGCAACGCGAGCUAUGGCCUCAUCACGCUGGUCCCUAGCCUCAUCACGCAAGUUGACGACCGGACUCCUCUAAAGAGGACAACUAUGAUAAGGCAUCGUCUCAUUGAGACUCAGCUGCAGAAGCUCGGCGGGAAGCUGACGGGAAGCCCGGGCGGCCUCCUCUUUCAUAUUCCCCAGCUUGAGUAAGGUCCUUAAUGACUCCUUUCAGCUCGACAAUGUAAUACCCGGCUAGACUCCGGUAUCGGAAUUCCUACCGUCCGGUGGAAUUUCGAGUGUCGGAAAUCUCUAGAAGGGUAAAAUCAUGUUUUUAUGAAAUGUUUUAAUGUAUUUUAUGGUUUUAAGUAAAGAGAAAGUGAGUUUUUGCAUGAAAAUUUAUCUUGGAGGAAAACCCAGGUUUGGCCGCCGAACCUCAAGUUCGGCCGCCGAACAUGCAUGCACUUCGGGAGUGCUUUAGGCCCCCGAAGGCAUAAGUGAGGAAAGCCCAGGUUCGGCCGCCGAACCUUAUGUUCGGCCGCUGAACAUGGCAUGCAUGCGGAGGCACGUUAGGCCCCCGAAAGUGGCCUGGCCAGCCACCUAUAAAGGGGUCCCUGCCGAAAAUGCCGAAACAGGCGAGCUUUCUCCCCAUUUUUGGCCAAGUGAGCUUCCGUCAUUUUCCCUUGCCGAUCUAGUGUUCUUCCUUCAAAUCCCCACUGUUUUCUUGAGUUUUUAACUUUGCAUUGAAGUUUUUUUGAGCUAAGAGCAAGUUGUGAGGCUUGAAAGACUCAGGAGCUCAUUUCUUUGGAUCUCCCAAGUUAGGUCGUCUCUCUCUCGAUCUUCAAGAGGUAAGAGCCGAUCUUAAGCUCAUUUUAUGUUUUUAACAAGUUUAAGUUGAUUCAUGGGGUAGAAAUGCAUGUUUAGGAUAGUUGAGCUUUGAUAAGGUUUAUGUAGUUUUAUGGACAAUGUGUGUUGGAUAUGCAUGUUUGAUGUGUUGUAGUUGGGGUUUAGGAUAGUUUGAGACCCCUAGGUGUUGAUGUAUGAGUGUAUGCAUGUUUUGAGAGGUUUGGAUGCAUGAUUGAAUGUUUUGGAGGCAAAUGUGCAUGUUGGAGCAGAGUUUCUGCCCAUUUGAGAAACUCAGGUUCGGCAGCCGAAAGGACUUUCGGCUGCCGAACCUGCCAGUGAAGGCAAGCCCUUCGGCUGCCGAAGCCUGUCCCUGAAAGUGGACUUUCGUCUCUGGAGGGGACUUUCGGCCGCCGAAGGUGCCGCCGAACAUGCAUGAGUUUCGUCUCUGGAGGGAACCUUCGGCCGCCGAAAGUGUUGCCGAAGGUGCAUGACUUUCAGCUCUGGAAGGACUUUCGGCCGCCGAAGGUGCCGCCAAAAGUGCCCUGUUCAGCCAUUUCUUACAUGUUUUCUAUGAUUGUUUCUAGGUGUUUUUAGGGGGUUUUUGGGGGAAUGUUUAGACUAUGUCAGUAUAUGUUUGGUCCUUCAUCUGAGUCUACCUGUGUAGGUUCGGACCCGAGGAACCGAGGAGGUCAGCAGUGCUAGCUGCUUCAGAGUCCUUAGAGCAUCAGCCAGAGGUGAGUAGAACAGAACUUUGACUUAAAUUUUAAUAGAAUGUUUAGCAUGACCCCAUGCAUCAUAAAUGCCAUGCUUAUGUAGGUUGUCUUGCACUAGUAUUCACGAAUAUGAUGCAUUGCAUUUUUAUUGUUGAUGUGGAUGGAUGUUGGAUGACCCACUAGCUCUCAGUAUGUAACCUAGAAAGUCCAGGGCUGCCCAUGCCACGCGUCCGGGCAAAUGCAUGAUUGUUUAUGAGAAAUGAGUGUUAUUGGUGACAAGUCCGUCCUUGAUGUGAAAUGUCUGUGUUAUGAUGCAUUCCAUGAAAGCAUGAAUAAUUAUAAUGUUUUAUGGUUCUGCUCACUGGGCUUUUUAACUCACCCCAUUCCCUUAACCCCACAGGUUUGCAGGUACGAGGCAGUCAGGGAAGUCAACUAGAAUAGCAAGGUUUCUUGGUUAUGUAAUAGUUUAGAUGUGGACAUGAUAAGUUGUAAUGUAAAAGUAUUAUGUAGUUAUGGGAUGUAAAAAUGUUAUAGAGGUUUAAAAUUGGUGCUUGACCCUAGUAUGUUGUAAAUCCCCUUUUAUAUACAUGAUCUUUAUAUUAUGAUGUUUUGAUAGACCAAGCUUAAAGUAUGUUAUGAUAUCGCAUUGGAGCAUUUGAUGAGGGCUCCAGUGUGUGGUUUAUGCUUAUGUUGAUGUGCAUGCACAGGUUAAGCUUGGCAAUAGGAAAAGAAAAAGUUUAUAUGUUUAUGAUAUGUAUGAUCAUGUAUGGGAUUAAACAGGUUUACAGGUUUAUGUUGGCUUGCUACGGGUCCCGGCGACCUUAUGUCGAACUGGAUCCUAGCGCCGGUAGCGGUCCGGAUUUCCGGGUCUUUACAGACAAUUUGCCCUUGUUCCUCACCAGUGGCAGUAAUAUUCUCGUCCCUGCACUCCUCAGUGAUGCGCUGCACCAUCGAGCUCUAGAAUGACCAGUUUUGAGCAUCGAUCUCGAUAAACACUCCGAAAGCCUGCCACAAAGAAAGAAAAAGACAGAGUUAGAAAAAUCAAGGGAGAUAUAAGUAUUCUCAAGAAAAACACAAUAGCUUACCAUAAGGAGCAUCUCCCUUAGGCUAUCUUCGAGGUCGUCUAGGGAGCAAGCACUGAAUGUUGCUUGCUGCAUAGUGGAGCAGGCAAGGUGGCUGACGAAGGCUAGGAAGUGAGGAUCUAAAGCGUUUGGAGCACCACCAAACAUUUUAUUACAAAGCUCCUUGGUGGUUGAAGCUGGUGUAGAUUCAAGAGUCACAUCGGCAUCGUUGAGGGAUUCAUUGUCAAGGGCUGAGGAUAGUAGCUCCACAACCCUUUUUCCUUUGUCAGCAGAAGGGGGAGGCACGGUCUUGGCAGGAUCUGCGGCCUGAGCCCUAUUAGCAGCUCUACCUUCAGGAGUGGGCUCAGAAGUCCACGCCCGCUUACCGGUGGCCCCUCCAAUCACAACAGCAGUGAUGGUCUGAAGAGGUUGGAUGUCCAAAGGAGCGACCUCAGCACCUCCCUUAGAACCGCCCUUAGCAGAUUCACUGAUGGUGGUAGGCUCCUUGGAGGUCCGCUUAGGAGCUGCCAGGGACUUGGCCAAGGCCGACGCAUUGGCAGGAACAAAGGCCUUUGAAGUUGCAGAACGAGAGCCUUUUGUAGUAGAUGUCAACGCUAGAGCAGGGGCAGAAGCAAGAGUUCGGCUUGCAGAGGUAGGGGCAAUAACCUGGAAAACCUCACGAGUCAUGUCCGCCACAGACUUACCGGCCUUGAAGGCUUCCAGCGUGGCCUUCAUGCUCUCCCUAGAUAGGGUAAAAUUCUUCGGCAAUUUGAGGUUGUCCAUGGGCGAGGCAAAAGCUAAAAAAGAGAAAACAAUACAAGUCAGAACUCAGGAUAACAAAAAAAAUACAAUUAGAAGAGAAAAAUAAGAAAGCAAUAAUUAACAAUACCAGCUUCUCGGUAGUCCCGGAGGUUAGAUAUGAACAUGCACUUCUCGAUAUCACACUUCUCGAUAUCGCACUUCUCGACAUCAUACUUCUUCUGUAUAGAGGUUAGACAUGAACAUGCACUUCUCGACAUCAUACUUCUUCCGUACAGAGGUCAAUCGAAAAAGGUAGAUCUGGUCAACCAGGAUCAGCCAGAGAAGGUCAUUGCAGCCCUGAGGGACCUCUCUCCAAGAGAGAUCAACAUCUCAGCUGAUCUCCUAGCUCUCCUUUAGCUCGACCAUCACGAAGGUCUUGGUCCAGCCUUUUAUUGAAUCUUUAUACCCAGCAAAGAUGGACAACCCCCCUUCCCCUUAGGAGCAAAGUAGUAAAACCUAUGGUUAGCCCAGACGAGGCAGAAGAAAGUGGAGAACAGAGCAACGGAAGGAGCAAAACCCUAACACAGCAAACAAAUUCAAAGGAGCACAUGAAGAGAAUGGAAUUUGGGGAUAACAUGCGAGGGGUCACACUAAAAUACUGAAAUGGAUAAAAAUCUCGAUGAAAAAAGGGGUGAAGGGGAAGGUCAACCCAAAAUCACAUUGCUUAACGAAAAAAAUUAAGUUGCGACCCUGCUGGGGUCUGUCAAGCUCGCCGAAGGUGGAUUGGGAAGGACAAUCCUCUCAUUGUCUAGAGGAGCCCUAAUCCUAUAAAUGGAGGUAUCGAUGUACUCGCUGGAGAAAAAAUUAGAAAGAAAAGAAGGAGUGACAAAGGAUAUCAAAUCUAUGACCUCAGGAAUAGAGUGGGACGUACCUCAGAGCAGAGAUUGCAGAGGCGAAGGAGAACAAUUUAACGGGAGGAGAGUGAGAAGAAGAGUCGAAAGCAAAAUCGAAAAUACGAAUUUGAAAUGGGUAAAGCCGGAGAGAAAAUGUUUUGAUAAGAGUCGCGCGGUCAUAAUUGAAGUUUUGAGAUUUUCCCUCAUUAAUCAUGGAAUAACUAAUGAGCAGGUAAAGGAGCACUUGAUGAUCGCUGGGUCUUUGCUUCCCGGCCGCAGUCAAGCCCAUGUAGGAGAGCAAGGUCAUAACCCACUAGAGCCCAAUACGCAAGUCUAUCCUCUAGCAUGCGGUCCAGAUCACGCUUAGGCAGGACGGGCAAAAUGAGGCUCGAGCCCAACAAAGAAGGAUCUAGCUCACCUGACUUGAUGGGUCAGUGGGGGGAAUAGACCCCUCCAUAUCCAGAACCAUGUCAGCACGAGCAUCGAAGGAAAUUAAAUAGCCGCCUGAUGAUGGAAAAAGGGAGCAGUACGUCCAUACGUACGGUUUUGUAUGAUAGCGGCAUGUGGCACUAUAAUAGGGUGGCAGUUAUAUGUCACUAAAAAACAAAAUGGAAAAAGAAUAAAGGAAGGUGUGAACUAUUCAAACUAAGCUUACACGCACAUACCCAAAACUCUAUCCUUUUCUGAUCAUCAAUAAAAAUUUACCAAAAGCCUAAAAAUCAAAAUCAAACCAAACAAACAAGAUCAACUCAAAAAUGGAACCCAAUUAAACCUAAACAAGAAAAACUAAAUUCAAAUCAAAUCAAAAUGAGAAACCAACAAAAGCACCGACCCUAAUAGCAAUCUCCAUCGGCACCGACUCAAGCCUCAAUCCGUUAUUGGAAUCGAAGAGAACAAAGCGCUGAAUAUAGCAACCAAGGCCUACGCGAACAAUACCAACCACAGACAUGUAAGGAAAGAAAAGAAAGCAGACAAGCACCAAAUCCCACAAACAUCAAGGAAAGAGAGUACAACAAGCCAAUCACUGGAGAAACUAACGAAAAAUACCCAAGGUAGAAUAAACCCAAGCAGCUUUAAAAUACUAGACUCAAAGGGACGACGCGACAUAACUCUCAACAAAAGCGAUGGUCACCAAACGUAAUGUUGCAGACCUAGUUCAUGGAUAUAGUCACUGAGCAUAAGUGUAUACAUUUAUAUGUGUAGGUGGAAAUCAAGUUAAAUUUCUCGUUUAUCUUAAUAAACAAUAAAUAACUUGCUAUUUUUAUGAGACUUUUAUAUUUAAUUUUUUAUUGCCCUCAACACGAAAUUAAUAGGUCAAUUAUUGAAUUUGACUCAAUUUUUAACCCUUGAAUUGGAUCUUAAUAUAAAGUAUAGAGAAACCUUAAUCAUUGAGAUUUUUUUUUUCUUAAAAGAAAGUAAGAAGUAAAAUGUACUUUAGAAGCCAUGCAUAAUACACAUAAAAAUAUAUCAAUAGGGAGUGAGGUUUUAAAAAAUUUAAUAAUUUGAAAAAAAAAUAAAAAAAAGAAUAACUAUGAUAGAUAAAUGAAGGGAAAAGAAAAAUUGAUAAACUACUUUUACCUCUUACUUUUCAUCUAUUUAUAUUAUUUUUCCUCUUUUACUAUUUUUUAAAUUGAAUUUUCUAUUUUAUUUUCCAUUGAAAUAAAAAGAAUUAUAAAGUAUAUAUCAAAACCCCAAUCAAAAUAAAGUAAAUAAAUUUUAUUAAAAUUAUUUAUUUAGAAGAGAUAAAAGGGCGGAAAGGAUAAGAACAACAUUAUUUAUAAAGCAAUUAAUAAAAUGUCACUAUUAAUUAUUUUUUGGUUUAAAUAAUGGAAACUUUCUGAUUGUUGCAUUAAGUCAUUGAUGGGACCCAUGAGCCCAUGUCUAUUUAUCACUAAAAAAAUAUUUACCACUUGCUGCGCAUUAAUAAAAACGAAACUCAUUAAUAAAUUUAUAUGCAUUGCACAAAAUGAAAUUGACUCGCCGCUGGAGUCCACAUGCUGCCCAUUUUACGCCAACUUCAACAUUAUAUAUAUAUUAUAUUUUAAAGGAAAACGAAGGUCUGAAUGCUAAAGUUACCUACCGUCUUCCAUCACCCUUUCCACAUCUCCCUCUCUAUCUCUGACCAUUCAUUCACACUGAAUAUACUUGCAAGAAAGUUCUGGUCGUGGUUGCAUAAGUCUGCAACUUCUGACGACCUCUAGCUUGGGGCUGAACGGGGCAGAUCGCCGGAUGGAUACUAGAGGUAUUAAUUGUUGUAGCUGAAACUGUGGAACCAAAUAGUAUUAGUUUCAUAGAGCUUUCAUUUCAUUUCAUCAACUAAUUGAGGCAUGUUGUUUAUUCUAUGGUCACUAAGCACAGAUCCGAAUGAAUCUGCCUUAUCUCCGUCUGCAUCUGAGAAUUAUGACCGUAUUGGGCCAAAGCCAUAUUCAUACGGUGAACUAGCAAAGGCAACUGGUCUUUUCUCGCACAAUAACCUAAUUGGUCGAGGUGGUUUUGGUCAUGUUUUUAAGGCAUCCUUAGAUGGCGAGACUCGUGCUAUCAAGAGACUUGAUUAUCCGGGUAUAGAGUCCGAAGGAGAUUUGGAAAGGGAGAUUAUGGUCGUCAAAAGCAUCAGUCACAAAAACCUCGUUGAACUGGUUGGUUAUUGCAUUGAUGGAGCCAAUAGAUUGCUUAUUUUAAAGUAUUUUCCAAAUGGGUCUUUGAGAUCUAAAUUAGAUGG
rnacentral:lncRNA from 1 species